UCAGUUAAAUUCAAUAUUGUCACUAACAUAUGAAUAUUACAAAAUAUACUGAAUUUUAGGGGGUAAUUUAAGGAGUUUCCCAAGGUAAUUUUAAUUAUGUACCAUAAUCAGGUGGCAACUGCAGUUUCUAACUACUGCUUAAGAUGACUUUUUUUUUUUUAAAGGUUUUAUUUAUUUAUUCAUGAGAGAUACAGAGAGAGAGGCAGAGACAUAGGCAGAAGGAGAAGCAGACUCCUCGCAGGAAGCCCAAUACGGGACUCAACCCCAGGACUCCAGGACCACACCCUGAGCUGAAGGCAGACGCUCAACUGCUGAGCCAUCCAGGCGUCCCUAAGAUGACUUUUAUAACCACAUAUCAGGGGACCCAGAGCACAGAAAAGAUGGGUGUAGAUGCCAUAUUACAGAAGAUGUUGGUGCUGGGUCCUUCAGCUGGGUCAUCACUUAAUUCAUAGCCGGUUGAGUGGAUAAAAUAAUUGAACAAGCCUCUCAAGCAUGAAUCAGCUCUACAAACUUUAUCCACAUCCAAAAUCCUUGGACUCAAAUCUGUUUGAAGCUGUCAGGUUAUGAUGGUGGGGGGUGGGUAGGUUGGCAGCUCCCUCCUUCUUCCAAGGAGGUUUGGCACUUCAUCCCCCUCACCCUACCCUCCCUCUUUCCUAGUGCCCCUGUAUACUCAGUAAAUGUGUAGGGUUUGGAGGAGAUGAAGGGGCAAUUAAGAAGAAACAAGGCUCUCUUGUCCUUUGUUCUUUACCCUCUACUGCCCUGAGGUACUUAAUUACAGCUUUGAAAUUAAAAGCUAGCUUAUUUGGAUUAAUAGAAAAGGAACUGCAUGUUCAAGAUUGCCAAACUUAUGUAUUAUUCUUGAAUUCUUUCCAGAAUCCAGCCUACUCUAAAUCCUCUUUUUCCUAAUUUGUUUGAUAUAAGAUAAUAAUGGUUAUCAGAAUCAACUCCGGCAGUUGUUGAAGGGCAAUUUUUUUCUAAGCCAAUUCUAUGUGUCAGGCACCACUUUCAAAGCACUGGGGAUAGGUGGAUGAACACAACAAAAUUCUUAUCUUUGUGGAACCUAAUUCUAAUGAUGGAGAUAAGAGAUAAUCAACAAAAACAUAAUAUGACUUCAAGUAGCAUUAUGUGCUCUGAAAAGAAAUAAAGUAAUAUAAAGCAUAAGAAAUGAAGUGUGUGUGUGUGUGUGUGUGUGUGUGUGUGUGUGUGUCCUUUCUGAUGAGGUGAUAUUGGAGAAGAUUUAUUCCAUGGAAUGAGAGAGCAGGACAAGUGAUAAAUUGGGGAAAGCUCCAGAUAAAUGGUAGAGCAACUAUAAAAGCUUUGAGAGGAGCAUGUACUUGGCAGGGGGCCAGUGUGACUGAAGAAGACUUAAGGUACGAGUAAGAGGAGAAAUUAAAUCUGAAAGGUAGCCUGGGACCAGAUCAUGUAGAAUCCAAUAUGUCAUGGGUUAGAAUUUUGGGUUUUAUAUUAAAUGUGAUUGGAAUCCAUUGAAGAGUUUUUGUGGAAGAGUGACAUAAUCAGAUUUAUACUUGUAAAGGAAGUCCUUCUGGCAGAAAAAAAUUAUACCAGAUAGAAGCUUGGAUCUAUGCAAAGAAGUGAAGA
rnacentral:lncRNA from 1 species